AGAGUUUGAUCCUGGCUCAGAAUGAACGCUGGCGGCGUGCUUAAUACAUGCAAGUCGAACGAGAAAGUUCUUCGGAACGAGUAUAGUGGCGAACGGUUGCGUAACGCGUAAGAAUUUGCCCUUCAGUGAAGAAUACCCUCGAGAAAUCGAGGUUAAUACUGCAUACGUCCCUACGGGGAGAAAGGUGGCCUCUUGCUACCGCUGAAGGAUAAGCUUGCGUACUAUUAGCUUGUUGGUGAGGUAAUGGCUCACCAAGGCUAUGAUGGUUAGCCGGCCUGAGAGGGUGGUCGGCCAGAUUGGGACUGAGAUACGGCCCAGACUCCUACGGGAGGCAGCAGUAGGGAAUCUUGCACAAUGGGCGAAAGCCUGAUGCAGCGACGCCGCGUGGAGGAUGACGGUUUUCGGAUUGUAAACUCCUGUUAAGAGGGAAGAAAGAUGUGUGGUUAAUAUCCAUGCAAGAUGACGGUACCUCUAGAGAAAGCUCCGGCUAACUUCGUGCCAGCAGCCGCGGUAAUACGAAGGGAGCAAGCGUUAUUCGGAAUUACUGGGCGUAAAGUGCGCGUAGGCGGCCUAUUAAGUCAGUUGUUAAAUACCAUGGCUUACCCAUGGAACAGCAAUUGAUACUGGUGGGCUGAGAGGGCAAGAGAGAGAAGUGGAAUUCUCGGAGUAGCGGUAAAAUGCGUAGAUCUCGAGAGGAGCACCGAUGGCGAAGGCAGCUUCUUGGCUUGUGCCUGACGCUGAGGCGCGAAAGCGUGGGGAGCAAACAGGAUUAGAUACCCUGGUAGUCCACGCCGUAAACGAUGAUCACUAGAUGUUGGUUCCGCAUAGCGGGAUCAGUGUCAUAGCUAACGCGUUAAGUGAUCCGCCUGGGGAGUACGGUCGCAAGAUUAAAACUCAAAGGAAUUGACGGGGGUCCGCACAAGCGGUGGAACAUGUGGUUUAAUUCGACACUACGCGAGGAACCUUACCUAGACUUGACAUGUUUGUGACAGCUGUAGAAAUACAGUUUUCCUAGUUUACUAGGACACUUACACAGGUGCUGCAUGGCUGUCGUCAGCUCGUGUCGUGAGAUGUUGGGUUAAGUCCUUUAACGAGACGUCAAGUCCUCAUGGCCCUUAUGUCUAGGGCUACACACGUGUUACAAUGGCGAGUACAGUGGGGAGCAAUGCUGCGAAGCGGAGCAAAUCCUUUAAAGCUCGUCUAAGUUCGGAUUGAAGUCUGAAAUUCGACUUCAUGAAGUUGAAAUCGCUAGUAAUCGCGUAUCAGAACGACGCGGUGAAUACGUUCUCGGACCUUGUACUGC
rnacentral:rRNA from 1 species